rnacentral:rRNA from 1 species
ACGCUCGACACCUACGGGGGGCAGCAGUGGGGAAUAUUGCACAAUGGAGGAAACUCUGAUGCAGCGAUGCCGCGUGAGGGAAGAAGGUUUUCGGAUUGUAAACCUCUGUCUUUGGGGACGAUAAUGACGGUACCCAAGGAGGAAGCUCCGGCUAACUACGUGCCAGCAGCCGCGGUAAUCUGAGCGGGCUGGCAAGGC